rnacentral:rRNA from 1 species
AGUGAACGCUGGCGGUAGGCCUAACACAUGCAAGUCGAACGGCAGCACAGUAAGAGCUUGCUCUUACGGGUGGCGAGUGGCGGACGGGUGAGGAAUACAUCGGAAUCUACUUUUUCGUGGGGGAUAACGUAGGGAAACUUACGCUAAUACCGCAUACGACCUACGGGUGAAAGCAGGGGAUCUUCGGACCUUGCGCGAUUGAAUGAGCCGAUGUCGGAUUAGCUAGUUGGCGGGGUAAAGGCCCACCAAGGCGACGAUCCGUAGCUGGUCUGAGAGGAUGAUCAGCAACACUGGAACUGAGACACGGUCCAGACUCCUACGGGAGGCAGCAGUGGGGAAGAUUGGACAAUGGGCGCAAUCCUGAUCCAGCCAUACCGCGUGGGUGAAGAAGGCCUUCGGGUUGUAAAGCCCUUUUGUUGGGAAAGAAAAGCAGCAGGUUAAUACCCCGCUGUUCUGACGGUACCCAAAGAAUAAGCACCGGCUAACUUCGUG